GUCUAUCUUAUACUUGUCUCUCUUCUUCUUUGGUUCCAUCUUGUUAUGGUCAUAUCUACAUUGAAACUAGUGGUUGGCAGUUUGGUCAGAAAGAAAAGUUUGAAUUAAAAGUUUAAAACACUAAUGUUGAUGCACCAUGUUCUAGAAUGAUGUUGGAUAUGGGAAUUAUCUGAUUAUCCGAAUGAAUGGUGCAUAUGUAAACUGUUGUGAGAUGCACAAUUAAUCAUAUGGUGUCUUGGAAUUGCUUGUAGAAAAACAUGAGCAGUAAUUCUGAUCUUGAAGCCCCACUAAG
rnacentral:misc_RNA from 1 species